AGCCACUCUCCCUUACAUUGCAGAACUCUAGCAACUUACAUGCUUUCAAGUUUCAAAAAUCCAGAUCUGAUUUUUUCCGAGAGAGAAAGAUGGAGGUUGGGUGAACGAUGGUGUUGCUGAAGCUUUCGAUGGGAUGGGGCGACUGAAAGUGGUGGAGACACUGACGGCGAGGUCGAAAUGGGUCACGGUGUUGCUGUAGUCGAGGGUGGUGUUGCAGAAGCUUUCGUGUUUGGGUGGGUGUAAAGGUGUUUAAUUUAUGGGUCUAGGAAGCAGGGAGGAAGGGGAGAGUGGGAGGAUGAAGGAGAGAAAUGGGUAAAGUCCUAAAUAGCUCUUGUGCAAAGUCCGUAACACCCCUAG
rnacentral:lncRNA from 1 species